rnacentral:rRNA from 1 species
GAUGAACGCUGGCGGCGUGCCUAAUACAUGCAAGUCGAGCGAACAGACGAGGAGCUUGCUCCUCUGACGUUAGCGGCGGACGGGUGAGUAACACGUGGAUAACCUACCUAUAAGACUGGGAUAACUUCGGGAAACCGGAGCUAAUACCGGAUAAUAUAUUGAACCGCAUGGUUCAAUAGUGAAAGACGGUUUUGCUGUCACUUAUAGAUGGAUACGCGCCGCAUUAGCUAGUUGGUAAGGUAACGGCUUACCAAGGCAACGAUGCGUAGCCGACCGGAGAGAGUGGUCGGCGACACGGGAGCUUGGACACGGUCCAGACGCCUACGGGAGGCAGCAGUAUGGAAUCUGCCGCAAUAGUCGAAAGCCUGACGGAGCAACGCGGCGUGAGUGAUGAAGGUCUUCGGAUCGUAAAACUCUGUUAUUAGGUAAGAACAAAUGUGUAAGGAACUAUGCACGUCUUGACGGUACCGAAUCAGAAAGCCACGGCUAACUACGUG